GUGAACUUGCCCUUACGAACUUACGAUCCUGAAAAGGUCGGCAACGCUCAGUCACUUCCUCACUUACGAUCCUGGCUUUGCUUCCGCCUCUAGAGCUUUCACUCAUACUGAGCUUGAAGAUCUCAAAUCCCUGCUUGCGUCCUUGGCUGCUCAGUCACACAGCGACGGGCAAUUCAUCUCUCCCUCAGUUUUUCAGCCUGUGGCAUACUUCGAUUAUAUUUCACUUUGAGGCUGUGGCUAUAAAGAAGGCUUUGCAAUACAGAUUCAAAGAAGUGAGCUUUCUGUCCAGACCAACCACUAAUGGUAAUGAGUUUCCACUUUCAAAUGCAAGCAUUCAAGAGUAUGUCCCUAGCUGGUAUGCAAAUUUGAUGGAGAAGUACAUGAGAAAGCCAUCAGGGAAUUGUUUGAGAAAUUAAAAGACAUUGGAGACGAGGACAUCCGCGCCUUCCAUUGACAACAGCAACAAUUUGGAACCUUCUAGACGUGGUAAUGGUGUUUGCUAUUUGGCCUAGAUUUUGCUAAGAUUUUUGCUAAGAUGUAUCAUAUGCUUACAAAGCUGGAAGUCUCAUAAUAAGUACUCCAUUAUUUUUACUGUUCUUCUUCUGUUUUACAAACACUUCCAUUACAGACCUAAAUAGAAAGCUUUGUUCAACACAA